rnacentral:rRNA from 1 species
AACGAACGCUGGCGGCGCGCCUAAUACAUGCAAGUCGAGCGAGAAGACGUAGCAAUACGUUUGUAAAGCGGCGAACGGGUGAGGAAUACAUGGGUAACCUACCCUCGGGUGGGGAAUAACUAGCCGAAAGGUUAGCUAAUACCGCGUACGCUCCUUGGACUUCGGUUCAGGGAGGAAAGCGAUACCGUGGGUAUCGCGCUCUUGGAUGGGCUCAUGUCCUAUCAGCUUGUUGGUGAGGAACGGCUCACCAAGGCUUCGACGGGUAGCUGGUCUGAGAGGACAAUCAGCCACACUGGCACUGCGACACGGGCCAGACUCCUACGGGAGGCAGCAGUAAGGAAUAUUGCGCAAUGGGCGAAAGCCUGACGCAGCGACGCCGCGUGGGGGAUGAAGGUCUUCGGAUUGUAAACCCCUUUCGGGA